GGUGACUUGUGAGCGGAACUAAGUAGAGCAGGUAGAGGGAGAAGUCAAAACUGCUGCACUAUAUGGCUAAAUUCCGCCACAGAAGCGGAAACUACAGAAAGUUUAUUACUGAAGAGGGGCAGCACGGCAGUCGUGUAGAUUUAUUUUGGCAAAAAAAAAAGAUGCUGCAGCGCAACGUGUGCAGAACCUGUCGCGCUACUGUUGCUCCAUUAGGAGGUAAAACUACGAACCUUUAUCAACACUUACGACAGUUGAACGGCUAAAACACCAGCGACCACCGCUUCAACUUCAAACCAGGUCUGCGUAACGACGAAAAACACAUCAAAUACAGCUGAACGAAUAAACCAGACUCCAGUGUUUUGGGCACCGACUACAUCUCACCAUCGGUACGUAGAUUACUAACAUGACCGUAUAUAAGGGCGCGUUUGUGUGUGUGUGUGUGUGAAAUGAUAAUUGCCAUAAAGAAGAAAUUAAUGUAUAAUUAAUUUGAUAUUGUUGACUAUAAUAGGCUGCAGAUUGGUUUAUUGUUUGUGUUUGUUGAAAAAUACAUUAGAAGAGGAGCUUGAAAAAAAUAAUCGCAUGUUAAAUCGGAAUUGCGAUAUUGUGGGAAAAAAUCGCGAUAAGAUUAUUUUCCAAAAUCGUUAAAGGGAUAUUCCAGUGUAAAAUUAAUUUAGGGUCAAACACACUGUAACACUGAGUUAGACACCCCGUCGAGAGAUGAAUGUUGCCGACCGCUUGCUUCUCUAGUUAUACCAACUUUAGUAACAACCGCACAAUAGCAAUACAGAAAGCCACGCACUCAACCAAAAAGCCACUCUAUAGCCUCAAAUAAUGCUCAGAACAGCACCUAACUGCAUCAACAGUACAUAUAGGGUCCCAGCCAUAGCCCUAGCCACCAAACAUCUUUUUAGCUUUGCUUAAUAUCUUUAGCAAAGAGACUAAACACAACUCACCUACCCUCUUCCAGCAGCCGCUUGUUUUUAGCGAGACCUCCAUCGAGUCCAUUGGCAGCUGCAGUGGGGUAACACAGCUCAAGGAAGAACAUUUAUGAGCAUACGGUGUGUUUGACCCUGAAUUAAUUUUACGCUGGAGCAUCCCUUUAAGCCCUACUUCCUAUGUUUCAGGCUCAGGCGAGUAAAGCCUCUGAUAACCUCUGACAAAUAACCUCAUGUCUUGGUUGUAGUAUGCUAGCAUAUAAUAAGAAAGCUUUAGAGUGUACCAGUAUUGUAAGAUAAUGUAUGCUGGGAACAAAAACAAACACAAAGUUUGACCUCGUUAUCCCGACAAAGAGUCACUGAAGCAGAGAGAGACAGCGGUAACUAACAGGCUACAGUUGGGCCAUCUAAACAGCUUGCCAAAUCAAUAACUGUAUAUUUUCCAGACGAGGAAAUGGUACCGUUAACAUCAAAAUUAUUUGGGCAUUUAUUCAUCACACAUAGUCUAAGCUAUAUGGUCCAAGAAACUACUUUAUUUCAUACAUUUCUGCUCAGAGAAAAAGUAGUAGAAAACAUAAGUAGUGACAAAAAAUUAAAAAAUAAAAGACGUACAUCAAGAUCUCUCUCAACAAACUGCAUGGGUUAUCUGUACUUUCAAAGCAUGCAAUUCAUAAUUGUAUUAAUUUGAUAGCGUGUCACCACAGAGUCAUUGUGAAAAGUCUCCUCAACUUUCCUUGGAGCAGUGGGAAUAUAAAAUGUCAGAACUCCAGCAUAUUUCAUAAACUAUUGUUGGAAACUAUUCAAAUUAAUGCCAACAUAUUUAACUUGAAACCAUAAAUAUUCUUCAUUCAUUAAUAGUAGAGUAAAUAGUAAAUACAGGGUGCAUGUGAUUUCUUAGUGACCUUCUUUUGCAGCCAGAGUUGGCAAAUCACCUGGAAACACCUUGAGCAUUCUUAUAUCAAUUAUAAAGUAAAUCACUGUGGUCUCUAAGCAGUGUUGCCUUGGCAGGCUGCUACCUCAUUAUGUUCUGGUUCAAUAGUUUUCUCCUUUCGAGCUCUGUUCUCUACUGGCUUACUUUCUUUUUCUGUCGUCUUUUUAUUUAGUUAUAUUUUGCUCGUACGUCUAUCAUUUUUAGGUAAGGUUAGGUAAGGAUAACUAUCAUAUCAUUUCCAUUUUCUUCAUCUAUCAGAGUAAAUAAAUAAAAAGAAAGGCAGAUAUAAAUGUGUUUAAAAAUGGCUUACACAAAUCUCACUAUGUGUUUGUCAUGAAUAGGAGUCCUAUUUUCCGCUCCAUGACAAUCUACAACUAUAUCACUGUGAAAAUUGAUAUGACCCAGGCAUCUGUCUAUAGGAAAUGUGUGAGAGUUUGAAGAAAAUGGAUUCAAGCUUCUUAUCAAGUCUUGAAAAACAUCAUGGAUGCCUAUCAUAUCUUUGUAAGGCAAAUGCAGAUCAGUUGGCACAAAGAGAAAAAGAAGAAAAUGUAACUCCUUCCAAGUUUGAACCUAUUAAGAUGAGAAAACAUGGAUAUCUGUUUGGAACCACAGCAAACACACAGCAUGAAGGCUAGCUGAAGGUUAUCUGCAUAGUGAGUUUGUAUGUGGCAGUGUAUAUGAGGCAAACACAAAGCUAACUGGAUGUAAGAAGCUGUGUGAAUACUGAUUUACCGCGGGGAGUAACAGAUGUGAGACUUCAAUGCAAAGCUGCAGUAAGUUAAGAGUGAAAAUGUGUGAGAAUUGGAAAGAUGGGCUCUGUCUUAUCCCGCUGACAAUAAGGUCUUUUUGCUCAUUUUGUUAAAAAAAAAUUGAAUAGUAAUGUGAAACCAGGCCAACACUCUGUUUUCACAUUAUCAUUCUCUUUUUCUGAAAACGUGCUCAGAACGCCAAUCAAUGCCUAUUCACAAACAAAGUGUAGCGUUGAAAAGCACGGGUGAGAAAGCGACUGAAUGAAUAUUUUCAUCUCAUACAAACAGGAGAGCUGUGAACAUUUAAAAUUUAAAGCCUUGCCUUCAUGCUAUUGAACUCUGAACACAGCUGGAUGUUUUUGCUGUUACCACGUAUAUGCAAAACCCCCUACAGAUAUUCCCAUGUAGCAAAUGUCGUGCAGAAUCUCACUAAUGAGUUCUUUGAUGUGAACACAGGGGACAGCAUAUCAUGGUCAAGCUGAACAGAAACAAUCUGCUGCUUUAAAUAUUUUAUUGACUACAUGUUCUUGAACUGCUGGUGGAUUAUUUUGUGACUAUAAUUCAAGUUAUAUUUAGAGUAGGAACUGUGUGUUCAGAGUUACUGCUGGAUAUAGCACAAGGAAUCCAAGCUUCAAUGUCAUGCUCUAAGAGAACUGUUACAGAUAUUUCUGUGCUGAGAUCUGUAUGAAUGGAGGGAAUGAUUGACUUUGUUUCUGGAGGGAAUAACUUUUUGCUUGAAUUACAUAUCCCACUGAAGAGAGCAGUUAAAGGGAUGUUCCGGCGUAAAAAUUAAUUUCGGGUCAAGCACACCGUAACACUGAGUUAGACACCCAUAGACUGUAUAUAGAAUGGACAGUGUCUGCCUCCUCGCUGGGUGAAGCCACUGUGAUGUUGUGAUGUUGACAUGUAGUUACUGUAAGACUGGUUUGUGCUCAAGUCCUCUUUUUUCUGUGAAGCUCUGUUUUUAAAAGUUAUUCGGGGGUUCAUGUUUUCUAUGAUUGACACCUGAUACAGCCUAUGGGCGUUCAGGGAUUGCUUAGCUCUCCCGGGGGAUACGCUGUUUGAGCCGAGCAUCAUCACAGCGACUCUCUGCGACUGCGCGGCCGAAUGCACGCAUUGCUACUGUGCAGCGCUGGUUUUAGGGUAUGAAGAAAAAUCCCAGAAAUACUGAGAGCUAUUUGGCUUCAAAUCCGUGUACAGGCGGUAGGCGGAACCAAGUUGUCCAUAGUAUAUACAGUCUAGACACCUCCUCGAGAGAUGAAUGUUGCCGACCGCUUGCUUCUCUAGUUAUACCAACUUAAGUAACGACCCCACAAUUGCAAUACACCGGGGUCUAAGGAGCCAUAAACAAACCUCAACCAAAAUGUCACUCUUUAGCCACAAAUGAUGCUCAGAACAGCACCUAACUUCAUCAACAGUACAUAUAGGGUCCCAGCCAUAUCACUAGACACCAAACACUUUUUAAACUCUGCCUAAUUUCUUUAGCAAAGAGACUAAACACAACUCACCUACUCUCUUCCAGCAGCCGCUUGUUUGUAGCGAGACUUCGGGUCAGUCCAAUACGGACUACAGCAGGGGGGACAUGGCUCAAGGAAGAACAUUUAUUGAUUAAUUUGGUGACAAUUACUUCAAGGAAGUAAUAAAGUAAUGAUCAUAAAUGUUCUUCCUUGAGCUGUGUCCCCCCGCUGCAGUCGAUGGACUUGCCCGGAGGUCUCUGUACAAACAAACGGCUGCUGGAAGAGAGAGGGUGAGUUAUGUUCAGUCUCUUUGCUAGAGAAAUCAGGCAAAGCUAAAAAGAUGUUUGCUGGCUAGUGUUGUGGCUGGGACCCUAUAUGUACUGUUGAUGAAGUUAGGUGCUGUUCUGAGCAUUAUUUGUGGCUAUAGAGUGGGUUGUGGUUGAGGUUUGUGUGUGGCUCCUUAGACUGCUAUGUAUUGCUAUCGUGCGGUCAUUACUAGAGAAGCAAGUGGACGGCAACAUUCAUCUUGUGGGGGUGUCUAACUUGGUGUUACGGUGUGUUUGACCCUUAAUUAAUUUUAUGCCGGAAUAUCCCUUUAAGUUGCUGUUUGCAUCUAGAUCCAUUUGCACAAGCUCCAGCAGUUCAUCCAAUCAGACGGUACCAUGCGCACCUACAGCGACAUCAGCCCUCCAUAUCUGCCAGCAGCAACGGCAGAUAUCAUUCUCAGACCCAUCAGUAAUCUAAUUCCUCUACUCACAUGCUGUUUUGUCUUUAAUAAAUCAGCCUGGCAACUCCCACAUCUUCCUGUGGCCCUCAGAGAGGAGAUUUAUCACUCAGCUGUUGACCAAACCUGGCACACACCAAGCUGUGCUGGCAAACAGCCGCAAAGGUUACACACACAUACAGUUGAUUUAUCGGCAUGAUAUACAGGACAAAGCAAAAUAAAAUAUGUUCCACGAGACUUAGGCUAUUUAUCUUGUGUCUUUCACAAACCAAUCUUUGAGACAAGGACAAGCAGCAGUUGAAAAAAGGGAACACGUUUAAGACCAAGUAAGCAAAGCAAGUGCUUUAGCAAAACGAGCUGACAAUGAUUUCACUUAUAUUAAAUUAUCUUAUUUUUCUUGAUAAGAUUGCCUAGCCUAACAACAAGUAUUUCUUAAAACGUCCAAUUCCUUAUUCGGAUGUUUCAGAUUUCUUCAGGCCAAAGUGGAUGGCAUAGUUUCUACGAUCAAAUGCCAGUUCUUUUCUGGGAUGCAAGCCAGACUGUGCUCGGCUGAAGCUCCUUUUCAAUCUAUCAUACAGACCAACACAGUCAAGUCAACCCAUCAGGAGGAAAGGAACAGAUUUCACCAAGCAUAUGGAAUCUCAAUGGGGGCUGGAUAAAACAGACUGCUGGUAUUGCACUCUGUACCUGUGGUAAACAAUUAGUCCUCAUUCCUCCCUGCCUUGUGGAUGACUUUUUGGACCAACUUCUGCCACUUGUAGAAACAGAAAACGGGAGAAAUCAGACUCUUUGGGGACUUCCUGCGUCUUAAGAAAAGGUGCUGUUUCUUUGGUAGCAUGAAAGGCCAGCUUGGGAGCCUGGGACGAGAGAUGGAUUGACAAAGGGGUCGUCUCAUUCUGUGUCAGGCCGUAUCCUCUGACCUCUCGAUUGUGUUCAAAUGGCCCUAGCUUUUAUGAAAUGACCCUCGCUUUUAUGAAGUACAAAAACCCAGCAGAUGACAUCCCCCUUGAUGCCAAGAAUCUCCCCAGCUCGGUCUCUUGAAUCUGUCAGAGUUUGGUUUUUCAGUACAAUAAAAGGAAACUACCUGUUCCUUGUGAAUGACUCUUAACAUCUUGCUAGCAUUAGUUAUAAGAUCCUGUGACACAUUUGUAAUUGGAUUCAAACAAAUGAGUCAAUGAGCGCAGGGCUAAAUUCACCUUAUUUAAAAAGGUUUAUAAAAGCCUUUAGAAAAGACUUAACCUGAGUUUCAUUUAGGAGAAUAAAUCAAAAGUUUAAUUGCUUCUAAAAGCAUAUAUCAUUCCUGUCAAUGAUGCAGAGCUGAGUGGUUUCAGUGAAUCAUUGCUCAACUGUGGCUGAAGUUUUACAAAAAGGUGAGAAAUUAAUGCAGAUGCUCUUCUGGAGCAUCUUCUGGAGCAUCUGCUCUCUCUCUCUCUUGUGUUAGUUUCUAUCUGUGAAAUUUCUCUGACUAUCUGUCUAACACCGGCAAAAGAUAUAUUACCCAAAAAAGCCCAAACUCACCAUAAACCUGGAGCUGUCAGCUGAUCCUGUUAAUUUCCUCAUGUUCAGCACAAUGAUGUGAGCUGCUGAUGGAACCAGGCCAGAAACAUUCAUACAGCACCUUGUGUAGAUGGUAAGGAUGAGAGGAUUAACUGAUACCUAUGGAUACAGGGUCAUGCGCAUGCACGAUGCGGGUGCACCGGUAGAGCAGCUGAGUAUAAGGUGACCAUAUGUCCUCGAUUUCCAGAAACAGUCCCCAUGUUGGAUGACCUAUCCCCGGCUAAAGCUGUCCCCAGAAAUGUCCCCAAUUUCACAGUUUCAUGAAUGAGAACAAAAAUGUUGCGUGUAGCGUAGAACAACGGUUAUUUCGGCGGCUGAGUAGGUAGGAAGCACAAACAGCUCCACUACGGAACGGCUGUGAUUUUUGUCUUCCGCCAAUUCCUACAGGAUGGUUUUGUGAGGCGAAUUUCGUGGUGGAUUUCGGACAGCCCUCUACAACAAAGUUAGAAGAUAGAGAGAAUAGUCACCGAGAAAAGCCCAAAGAGCAGCUCUGUAUCGUGAUUUGGGUGUGAAUCGUAUCUUUAAUAUAUCAGAACGGAGACAUUCUAUCGAGAUGCCCCGGCGUAGUCAUGUCCUCUUUUUGAAGAUUUAGAAUAUGGUCACCCAAUUUAUAUCUAAGAUGCCCAACCCCAGUAGAUUGGUUUACAGUAUCUCUAUUCUCUGGGUCUUUAUCACACCAUUGCUCCUUUGACUCUUUAUAUGACCCCCUCACUUUGUCAAAGUUAUAUGACAUCUAAUAUACAUGAAUAUUCAUCUGAUUUCUGGACUUCAGUGAUUAAUUCUUUCAGAGCAAACUAAACAGUGCUGAUUUAUUCAUACUGAAAAGCACAACACAGCGUCAGUAUUUAGAGGUCAGUAAAUAUAUUCACACCUUCCUUUGGUGUCUGGUGGAGCACAGAAAUCAGUGGCACAGAAAAUAGUGAGAUGAGCUCUCCCUGACAGCACUGUGGGAUUUGUACUGAAGGUACACAACAGUUGGCAUCAGUUGACAUCUGGGAGAGAGACAGGCUGCUGACAGCGACUUAAUCUUCCCCAGAGCUGCAGCGCAGUGGGAGCUGUCCACCUCUGCUGUGAUGCUCCUCGGGGAGCAGAGACCCUGAGGUCUGCUCGGUAAAGACUUUCACAGACACGCUGAAAAUUAGAGAGCAAACUGCAUGAUCAUAUUCUGUUCUGUUAGCACUCAUUGUCACAGUAAAAGACAUGAGAGAGGUGGAGAGCACAUCCAUCAAAGAGCUGGUGAGAUGAUAUACGUGACAAGCUGUGGCGAUGACUCAGCUCCCACGGGCGCCUCUCACCUGCAGGAGGCCAUAGUCGGGCCACUUUGAUGUGAAAGCUCAAUGUGGUGAAAUAAAAGAAAGAGAAACAGACUGACUGCAGGAGAGCAGCGAGGUGGGACAAAAGGAGGGAAACGACAGAUUCUUGCUGUGUGUCAUUGUCGGUUAGCUUUUCUCUGUCCUCUGGGACAUGUUGGAUUAUUUUUAGCUUUAUUUAAGUCAGAUAUAAUUCAUCUAAUUGAAUACAAGUCCAACAGAAGUGUGCUGUAUUUUUAUCGCAGUUUGGCACCAAAGGAGAACCUGCCAUGAGGGUUUUGAUGUUGCUGUUUUCUCUCUCCAUCUUACUUCCCACUGGGCCUGUGAAGGUCUUGCCAAAAGGCCAAGAGCACAGAGGAAGAUAUUGACAGUUUGUCCUUGUACAGUGAAAUAAUAAUUUCAUGUCCUCACACUGUUCUUUAUUCACCCAGGCUGAGGAAAUAACCAAAGGAGCCACUUGAACUGUCGGAGACCUUCAGCCUGCAGUCUAAAGAGGGACUGACCCAGGAGGAGGUCCCCUGCAGCUCAUGGAUGAGGACAAAUCAAUGAGGGACGCGGUGAAAUCCAGACAGCAAAACCUCACUGGGGACGGUGUUUGGAAGCAGAGCCACAGGCAGAGAGGGAACUGGAAUGCAAAUGAGAGUUCACAUGGAGACCAGGCUGUGAGGACUCACAUGACCAUGAGAGGUGAGGAAAUGAGGCCUGACGGAAACUGUUGGACUUUACGUCCUUCAAUGGAUGCUUUUGUUGCUAAAAUUUAAAAAUAAUACCUUCAGCUUGAAACAGUGUCUUGGAAAAUGUAUAAAUAUUGAAAAUAACAUCAUGCACAACAAAAAAUAACCACUGCCUCCCUACCCCACGCCCUCACUCCCAGCUCUAGCAGUUCAAUGUGACACACAAAUCCUUUUCAACCAUACUGUAGAGUAAAGAUCUGCAUGGCAUUAUGCCAGUGGUUCUCAAUCCAGUCCUCGAGGCCCGACUGUCCUGCAUGUUUUGGAUGUUUCCCUGCUCCAACACACCUGAUUCAUAUGAUGAGCUCGUUAUUAGGCCAUUACAGAGCUUGAUAACGAGCUGAUCAUUUGAAUCAGGUGUGUUGGAGCAGGGAAACAUCCAAAACAUGCAGGACAGUGGGGGCUCGAGGACUGGAUUGAGAACCACUGCAUUAUGCAGACUGUAGGUCAGACUGAAGUUAGUUUCACAAUCACAAACUAGAUACUUAUUUUCUGCUGCUGACACCAUCAUGUGACUCUAGUACAGACAUACUGCUGACUUUAAGGUCCAGAGAAAUAGAGAAAUACACUAAAGUCUCAAAUGAAAGCUGUUUUGCUCUCUUCUUGAAAUGCUACACCAGUGAUAAAUCAAAGACAAUGAACCGUUUGAGAGGGUUUUUGAGCUGCUGUACUUCAAACAACUGAUAUUUCAAAGUUAGCUGCUGGAAAAUAAUUGAAUAGAAAUACUUUUUAUCAGCAUAACCAUGAAUCUAUAAUUGAAGCACGACUCAGACUUGAGACAACAGAACAGAGCCAACUUUAAACAGGACACUAAAACUGAAAAAAAUAUUCAAAUUUUCUAAAUUAUAAGGAGAAAUCCGUUGAAAUUAGUGAAUCGGUGUCAACUGAAACAUUUUUUUAUUCUUUUGUAUUAUAAAGUGUGAAAAUGUCAGAAACAAACAAAAAUGUCACCUUCAAAAACACGACAUAAAAUAUUCAAAUCCCACCCUGUGCCAUAAACAUCUCCCUGAGGUCUGCAAUGGCAUUAUGUAGACUGCAGGUCAGGCUGAAGUUAGUUUCACAAUCACAAAGCAGAUACUUAUUUUCUGCUGCUGACACCAUCAUGUGACUCUAGUACUGACAUACUGCUGACUUUAAGGUCCAGAGAAACAGAGAAAUACACUAAAGUCUCAAAUGAAAGCUGUUUUGCUCUCUUCUUGAAAUGUUACACCGGUGAUAAAUCACUUCCCUGUAAAUGCUGACCACAUUCCUGUCGACAAGACGACUUUUGGUCAGUGUGAUGUGCUGAAUGCAUGAAAAUACACAAAGUUAUCCAAACAGCAGGACUCUGAUUCUGGCCAAGCUCAGAGCGGUAAACACUCAGGUACAGAGCUUCUUUUGAGCUCACACAGUAGAGCCUUCUUCACUGCUAUGUAUGACAUAUCAGAUAGAGCUUCCUCUGUGUUUAUGGCAGAGUUUCUACACAGACAGAGUCUGUCAGAGAGCGAGAAUGUUUACAGCAAACACAGGACGAAUUCCACGUGAUACCCAGAAAAACACUCUCAGGUAAAUGGAAAAUUACCCAGCUGCCUUCAGGUUCCUCCAUAUUUCAGUGCCACUAAUCUGGUGAAGCUCUGAUUCCACAAAUAACACCUCUAUGGUGCUUUUAGUUCCCCCAGGAAAACAGAAAUCCAAUCUCAUGCAGUGAAGCAUUUAGAGAUCUUCUACAUUCAGUGCUAGACAAACCCUGAGGGCAUGGAUCACCCCACACCAACAGAGCUUCAGCCACACUAUUCAGAAUUUGUUUGCAUCCUCGGCUUCAUCAGGAUGGUUUGUUUUUUCAGCCAAUUUUGUGUUGUGCGAGAGUUUGCGUCCCUGUUCAUCUUCAAGCUAACAUCAACAACCCAGAAAGCAUCCUUCCUCUUAGAGACUGGAGACAUGGCGGCUUUUCAAACAAACAGUCUGAGUGGAAGCUGCUUCUUUUUCUCAGGCCAAACCACCAAACCACAGCUUAAGUAUUUCACCAAUGAUGUCCUUGUAGAGACAGUAUUCAACAUCUCACUGUCUUUGGAGAAAGAUGUGGCCCAUAAUGUGUUUACAAAGAAAGAGCAGUAGAUUGGUAAAUCUAUAUCUUGGUGGCCAAAGAUGUAGUUUUAUAAAAGUGUAAUCCCCAAUAUUUCUAGUUUAGGGUUAUGAGCAAAAGAACCUAGAUGCCAGAUAUCCCAGCACACAGUAGAGUAUGUUUACAACAGAGGCAGUGGACACAGGUCCGUAGAUGUAGUGUACUUUAUCCUCUCUGUAAUCCAUCACAGCAUGUGUUGUGCUACUUCCAAUUGUUUCUCCUGGCACUGUUGGGAGGAGAAAAAUGCCAAAAACAAGGAAAACCUCAGCAACACUUUGUUCAUAUAAGAGGCAACUGUGCAAUGAAGGUGAUAGUAGCACUAAUACUGCCCCCCCUUGUAACCACAGCACAUCAUUUACUUUAACAGAUGGACUCACAGGAAGAAGGGAGAUGUCCUGCAUUUUAGGCUGGGGUUUUCACAUUUAAAAGAGAGAAGAGCCAACGGGUGGCCUGAUGUUUCAGGUGAAUCUUUUCCUCGAUCACUUGGUCAGUCUGUCUUACCUACCAAGGGUUAGGUUCCAACCUGGCUAAGGUUAGCAGAGCCAGUAGCACAGGCUUCAGUUCCUCCUUGCAGGAUAACAUCCACAUGACUAUGCUUAUUAUGCACCAUACUAAACCAGACACAGUCUAUGCACGACUUUAUCUCUAUUUUCUGAAUCAAAAUAUUGUCAAACCAGGCCACACUGUAAGAUGCCGUCUGUCAUCUGUGCUUGUUUGCAUUCAAAGAGUACCAUUAUAGCAUUAGGGCAAUAGCCGUAAGCAAUAGCUAGUGACAGGUGACUGCACUACAGCUCUAGCAAGAUGUGACCUGCAUUUCAGGCCUACAUUAAUAACAGUAAUUCAUCUAACCAG